rnacentral:snRNA from 1 species
AUCACUUCUCGGCUCUCUGAGAUAAGAUCAUGUGUAGUAUCUGUUCUUUGCAGUGUAAUUUCUGCAACCAUCUCUAAAUUGAGACCAACGAAAUAGACUUUAUUUUUUUCUACCGGAUAGGUGCUAUGAGCUUGCUCAACCCCAUCCACGGGUCGGCCUCGUAUUGCGUUACCUCGAGGAUUGGCCGAUUAGAG